rnacentral:ncRNA from 2 species
CUCUUAUUCGGAGUGAUGGAGAUACAUAGGAUCUGUGAAGUCACGGCAACCCCCUGCUGAUGCGUGGAAGGUGCCAACCUGAGCGAGUAAUCGAACAAUAAGAG